GACGAACGCUGGCGGCGUGCUUAACACAUGCAAGUCGAACGAUGAGGCCCAGCUUGCUGGGUGGAUUAGUGGCGAACGGGUGAGUAACACGUGGGCAACCUGCCCCAAACUCUGGGAUAACUCCUCGAAAGAGGUGCUAAUACCGGAUACGAACUAGACAGACAUCUGUACUAGUUGGAAAGUUUUUCGGUUUGGGAUGGGCCCGCGGCCUAUCAGCUUGUUGGUGAGGUAACGGCUCACCAAGGCUACGACGGGUAACCGGCAUGAGAGGGCGACCGGUCACACUGGGACUGAGACACGGCCCAGACUCCUACGGGAGGCAGCAGUGGGGAAUAUUGCGCAAUGGGCGAAAGCCUGACGCAGCGACGCCGCGUGAGGGAUGAAGGUCUUCGGAUCGUAAACCUCUUUCAGUAGGGACGAAGCGAAAGUGACGGUACCUAAAGAAGAAGCACCGGCUAACUACGUGCCAGCCGCCGCCGUAA
rnacentral:rRNA from 1 species